GUGCUCGCUUUGGCAACACAUAUACUAAAAUUGGAACGAUACAGAGAAGAUUAGCACGGCCCCUGUGCAAGGAUGACACGCAAAUUCGAGAAGUGUUCCAUAUUUUU
rnacentral:snRNA from 1 species